rnacentral:rRNA from 1 species
GACGAACGCUGGCGGCGUGCUUAACACAUGCAAGUCGAACGAUGAACCCGGAGCUUGCUCCGGUGGAUUAGUGGCGAACGGGUGAGUAACACGCGAGUAACCUGCCCUUGACUCUGGGAUAACUGCGGGAAACUGUAGCUAAUACCGGAUACGACCCUCGGCGGCAUCGCCAGGGGGUGGAAAGAAUUUCGGUCAAGGAUGGACUCGCGGCCUAUCAGCUAGUUGGUGAGGUAACGGCUCACAAAGGCGACGACGGGUAGCCGGCCUGAGAGGGUGACCGGCCACACUGGGACUGAGACACGGCCCAGACUCCUACGGGAGGCAACAGUGGGGAAUAUUGCACAAUGGGCGCAAGCCUGAUGCAGCAACGCCGCGUGAGGGAUGACGGCCUUCGGGUUGUAAACCUCUUUUAGUAGGGAAGAAGCGAAAGUGACGGUACCUGCAGAAAAAGCACCGGCUAACUACGUGCCAGCCGCCGCCGUAA